rnacentral:rRNA from 1 species
AUGGGGAAACAUUCUGCUGAAACCGGGACUAGUAUGCUCCUACAUGGAGACUUGGACAUACAGAUAGUGGAAGCAAAAUGUCUUCCCAAUAUGGAUCUCAUGACCGAAAGGAUCCGGAAAUGCUUCACUGGCUAUGGUGCUUGCAGGUCCAACUGCGGGAAUUCUAAUCCAAAACCAGACGUGAGGAAGAUCAUUACUAGUGAUCCAUAUGUUUCGGUUUGCCUCUCAGGUGCAACGGUGGCACAAACUCGAGUCAUUAACAACUCGGAGAAUCCUAAAUGGGAUGAACACUUCUAUGUUCAGGUUGCCCACUCAGUUAGCAGACUCGAGUUUCAUGUAAAGGACGAUGAUGUCUUUGGGGCUGAGCUUAUAGGUGUUGCUUCAGUACCAGUUGAACAGAUCACAGAAGGGGAUGUUGUCAGUGGCUGGUUUCCAAUCUCUGGUCACUACAAUAGCCCGAAGAUAUCUCCUGAACUCAAUUUGUCUAUCCAGUAUAAGCCAUUUGAUCAGAAUCCGCUGUACAAGGACGGAGUUGGUGCCGGUGGUACUGAGAAUAUUGGUGUACCAAAUGCUUAUUUUCCUCUUCGCAAGGGUGGUAGGGUCAGUCUAUAUCAAGAUGCCCAUGUUCCUGAUGAUUUUCGUCCUAACAUUGAAAUUGAAGGUGGGAGGACAUAUGAACAAAAUAAAUGCUGGGAAGACAUUUGCCAUGCAAUUGUCGAGGCUCAUCACCUUAUUUACCUUAUUGGCUGGUCAUUAUAUCACCCUAUCAAUCUUCUACGGGAAUCGACAAAACCUUUGCCCAAUGGAGUCCCACGAACCAUUGGAGAGAUUUUGAAAAGCAAGGUUCAAGAGGGAGUUCGUGUUAUCGUGUUGCUUUGGGAUGACAAAACAUCACACGACAAAUUUCUUUUGAAAACGGAUGGACUGAUGCAUACACAUGAUGAGGAAGCUCGAAAGUUUUUCAGGCAUUCAGGUGUCCACUGUGUGUUAGCUCCUCGUUAUGCUAGCAACAAAAUGAGCAUUUUCAAGCAGCAGGUUGUAGGAACUUUGUUUACACACCAUCAGAAAUGUGUAAUUGUAGACACUCAAGCCACUGGAAACAAUCGAAAAAUAACAGCUUUUCUUGGCGGUCUCGACUUGUGUGACGGCAGAUAUGAUACACCUGAACACAGGCUUUUCAAGGAUCUUACUACUGUCUUCAAGGAUGAUUUCCAUAAUCCCACGUUCCCUGUGAAUAAGUCUGAUGGACCGAGACAGCCAUGGCAUGAUUUACAUUGCAAGAUUGAGGGUCCAGCUGCAUAUGACAUGCUUACAAACUUUGAACAGAGAUGGAAAAAAUCCGCAAAAUGGAAAGUCAGUGUCAGAAGAGCUGUAAGUUGGCAUCAUGAUACUUUGGUUAAAAUAAACCGGAUGUCAUGGAUUGUUUCGCCCUCUGCAGAUGAGCUAAAUGCACAUGUUUGUGAAGAAAAUGACCCAGAAAACUGGCAUGUACAGAUUUUCCGAUCCAUUGAUUCAGGAUCGGUAAAGGGAUUUCCUAAAGAUGUUCAAGAAGCCGAGUCACAGAAUCUUGUCUGUGCAAAGAAUCUGCAGAUAGACAAGAGCAUACACAAUGCAUAUGUAAAAGCCAUCAGAUCUGCACAACACUUUGUCUAUAUUGAAAACCAGUAUUUUAUUGGAUCUUCGUACUACUGGUCUUCACAUAGAGGUGCAGGUGCAGAGAACCUAAUACCAAUUGAACUGGCCAUAAAGAUUGCAAGAAAGAUCGCAGCAAGGGAGCCAUUUGCAGCUUAUAUUAUCAUACCAAUGUGGCCUGAAGGUAAUCCGACAACUGCUCCUAUGCAGGAGAUCCUCUAUUGGCAGUUGUUUUAUCUCUUCAAGGGGCAAACCAUGUCCAUGAUGUACAAGAUUAUCGCAGACGCUCUCCGAAAGGAAGGGUUGGACGAUGCCCAUCCACAGGAUUACCUGAACUUCUACUGCCUCGGUAAGCGUGAAGUCACAGCCGUGGUUCCUGCACCGACAAGCCAUUCUAAUGAGAAUUCCCCGAUGCGUCUGGCUCAGAAGUUCAGGAGGUUCAUGAUCUACGUGCACUCGAAAGGGAUGAUCAUCGAUGACGAGUUUGUUCUCAUCGGCUCAGCCAAUAUAAACCAGAGGUCCUUGGACGGUUUGCGGGACACCGAGAUCGCCAUGGGCGCCUAUCAGCCACACUACAGCUGGGCAGGAAGCCAAGGUCCUCCGCGAGGACAGGUGUAUGGGUACCGGAUGUCGCUGUGGGCGGAGCAUCUGGGCACGGUGGAGGAGUGCUUCCGUCAGCCGCAGUCCAUGGAGUGUGUCCAGUUGGUGAACCAGAUGGCGGAGGAUAACUGGGCGUGCUUUGUGUCACCGCAGAUGGUGGACAUGAAGGGGCACCUCAUGAGGUACCCCAUCAAGGUCGAGAAGGACGGGAGGGUGGUGCCUCUGCCUGGGCAUGAGAGCUUCCCGGACGUCGGUGGCAAGGUGCUUGGCUCUCACUCCUCGCUGCCCAACGCGCUGACAACGUAA